UACGGAGGGUGCGAGCGUUAAUCGGAAUAACUGGGCGUAAAGGGCACGCAGGCGGACUUUUAAGUGAGGUGUGAAAGCCCCGGGCUUAACCUGGGAAUUGCAUUUCAGACUGGGGGUCUAGAGUACUUUAGGGAGGGGUAGAAUUCCACGUGUAGCGGUGAAAUGCGUAGAGAUGUGGAGGAAUACCGAAGGCGAAGGCAGCCCCUUGGGGAUGUACUGACGCUCAUGUGCGAAAGCGUGGGUAGUGAACG
rnacentral:rRNA from 1 species